UGGCAUCCUGGGGUAGGGAAGGCAUGUCAUCCUCAGGACCCUAUGGGCCUCCCAAGACACGUCUCCCAGUUCCCUCCCCUCACGAGGCAUCUCUGGCCGGGAAAGGCCAGUGUGCUCUGAAGUGCUCCCUGCAGCCUGAACUACGGCUCCACGCACACCUCACAUGGCGGAAACCGCUGAGUCCUAGAGCUCCUCCAUGGGCAGAGGCCAUGACUUUUCCACUGCUGUGGUCCAGAGCCCAGCAGGACACCUGACCCAUAGGAGGACCUGUUCGGGGAACAAGGCUGACCAACUGUAGAGUGUGGCCGUGAGGUUGAGAGAGGCCACUCCCAAGUGUCCUGAGUCAGCCUCAGGCCAGCCCAGGAAGCGCUUUAACCCCCGUGGAGUCAGCAGGUAUAAAUGGCUUACUUCCCGUCAAUGCCUUGGCCUGCUAAUCACCCUCAGGCUCUAACAACAGUCUCUGGUGCUAGACCCCAGGGGAAGAGUGAGAACUGGAGAGUCUUGGAUCUUCUCACAUCCAAACUGAAUUUGGGAUCUUGACUCCCUGGGGGUGUGUACUGGAGCCUGGGACAUUAGUCAAGGUGUUUUUUCACCCCUAGUGGUGGCACUGUGUGUCUAAAUGUGGCAGGAUGAAUAUAAGGCUGUUAAUAUUGCCUUUAAAGUGAGAAACCCAAAAUAAAAUGAGCUGUUUGUUCAUUGAUAUAAUUUGGUAGAUCUCAUACCUAUUCCUCAAUGUUUAUGGGGCAGGACUCCGGAGCUGCGGCUGUUCAGUAGGAAAGACCAAAAGCAAAUGGUAAACAAGAGAGAAGACACACAUGCAUGCACAAAUAAAAACAACAGCACCGUCACCGCCGCCACCGCCACCGCCGCUGCCACCGCCGCCGCUGCCACCACCGCCGCCACCAGCAAGCCAUAAAACGCUGGGCCUGAGGGGCUGCCCAGAGAGCCGCCCUGACUCUGAAUUCACAGGAGUCCUUGCAACAAACGCCACCCUUCUAAUCUAGAAGCGUAAGCCAGGGCAGAGCAUCGGUUACUUAUGGAAAACUCAAGAAUCAGAUCUGAAGUCUCUCCCGGCCUCUCGAGAGAAGAAAACAAAUCCAUUCCAUGGGCUACGGAAUGUCAGGUGAAACAACCUGGCCGCACUGCAUUUCUUAGAAGCAGAUAUUCUAUAAGAGAAACCAUCACAAGGGGUAACUCUAGAGCCUCGAGCGCUGAAGUCAUCAGCUGAGUUGAUGACUCUCCAAAUCUCCUUGGGCUGGGGUGUAAGAGCUGACAGAGGCAGCCUUGGCGUCCACCUCCUUCAGGCUCCUUGGCCAGGCAGGAGCUGUCAGGUCCACAUGCACACCUUCAACACUCCCCAAGCGAUGGCCAGCGCUGAAGCAGAAGCAACAGGAUGACAUCUGCUGGUGCAUCUGCAUCCAGGCCGGGGCACACGUGUGCUCUGGAGGUGCCCCUGCGGGAGGUGCUUCAGAGCAGCAGGGGGAAGAGUCUGGCUCAUGGAACACGUGGUGUUCCCUGCUCAGGGGAACUUUCCCACCUCCCUUCUUCCUCCUAUGUGCUUGCUCUGUGGGUCAUUCCUUCUCUUUUAGCCUUACUAGAAACAAUAUUCUUCCAACUGAAGAUGUAACUGAAGCCUGAAUUACAGUGCGGGAAAAUCAUUACAACAGCCUUUAAAAUGCUUGCCUAAGCUGAGCUCCUGAAGAAACUUGGACCUGUUUCCUUGACCAUGCCUUUAAUGUGUCUGCUGGCUCCUGGGAGUCCUCUUUUACAAUAACGUCCGCCAUUUUCCUAACUAAAGCAAGACCUGACCAACUGCCAAGUAGUCCUCCCCUUCCCCCCAGUGGAAGAAAUGGCUACUGCUGUUCAACACUGAGUCUGCCAGAGCAGCUCUGUGGGGCUCCACUGAAAACCUGCAGCAGAGAGGCCAGCGAUGGGGGCUGCUCAGAGUGCUUCCGAAUCUACUUGAGGUAAAUAUGUACCUGCAUGUAUCUCUUGCCCCACCCGCACCUGACAUCCUUGGCUCUGAGGCCCAGAAAGAGCUGAGGAGGUCAUGGAGGUCAUCAGUGCCCUGCUUGCUUUGAUACACCAUUAAGAAGACAGUCGUUCCUCUAACAGCCAUGCAACUGAACAGUGCCACCAAGUCAUACUGGUACCCUCUUCUUUAUCCCUUAAAGAAUACCCAGGAAGGAAAGAUAAUAAAAGGAAAUAAAGGACCAGAUCUUUUACCAUCCUCCUGCGUGGGUGAUCCAUCCUCUUCCUCUGUAACAUCAUUUCCCUAGGAUAGAAGGAAGGCCUUGUGAGUCUAUAAAGCAGGAAAAUGAGUCCACUGAUUGGCUGACGACAGAACUAAUCAUCUUAACGGCAUCUAACUCCAGGGCCUACAUUACUAGCAUAUAUUUUCAUCCGUGUUUAAUAUGCCUGAGAGGCUGACUAGAGGCAGAUCUUGCUUGGUGAGGCACCGUCUGCCUAUAGGGAUUAGAUCCGAGCCACAUUACCCAUAUAGGCUCAGAAUGGUCUGUCAGGAACACCCUUGUUAAUAGCUUAGCUGAUACUGUUUCUCUAACGUGGAAGUAAAAGUUACUAAAUGAAAGAG